rnacentral:rRNA from 1 species
GAUGAACGCUGGCGGCGUGCCUAAUACAUGCAAGUCGAGCGAACAGACGAGGAGCUUGCUCCUCUGACGUUAGCGGCGGACGGGUGAGUAACACGUGGAUAACCUACCUAUAAGACUGGGAUAACUUCGGGAAACCGGAGCUAAUACCGGAUAAUAUAUUGAACCGCAUGGUUCAAUAGUGAAAGACGGUUUUGCUGUCACUUAUAGAUGGAUCCGCGCCGCAUUAGCUAGUUGGUAAGGUAACGGCUUACCAAGGCGACGAUGCGUAGCCGACCUGAGAGGGUGAUCGGCCACACUGGAACUGAGACACGGUCCAGACGCCUAAGAGAGGCAGCAGUAGGGAAUCUGACGCAAUGGGCGAAAGCCUGACGGAGCAGCGCCGCGUGAGUGAUGAAGGUCUUCGGAUCGUAAAACUCUGUUAUUAGGGAAGAACAAAUGUGUAAGUAACUAUGCACGUCUUGACGGUACCUAAUCAGAAAGCCACGGCUAACUACGUG